GUACACUCCUACGGGAGGCAGCAGUGGGGAAUUUUGGACAAUGGGGGCAACCCUGAUCCAGCAAUGCCGCGUGAGUGAAGAAGGCCUUCGGGUUGUAAAGCUCUUUUGUCAGGGAAGAAACGGUGGUGGCGAAUAACUACUACUAAUGACGGUACCUGAAGAAUAAGCACCGGCUAACUACGUGCCAGCAGCCGCGGUAAUACGUAGGGUGCAAGCGUUAAUCGGAAUUACUGGGCGUAAAGCGUGCGCAGGCGGUUGUGUAAGUCAGAUGUGAAAUCCCCGGGCUCAACCUGGGAAUUGCAUUUGAGACUGCACGGCUAGAGUGUGUCAGAGGGGGGUAGAAUUCCACGUGUAGCAGUGAAAUGCGUAGAUAUGUGGAGGAAUACCGAUGGCGAAGGCAGCCCCCUGGGAUAACACUGACGCUCAUGCACGAAAGCGUGGGGAGCAAACAGGAUUAGAAACCCCGGUAGUCCCA
rnacentral:rRNA from 1 species